rnacentral:tRNA from 1 species
AAGGUUUUAAGUUAAAAUAAACUGUUAGCCUUCAAAGCUAAAUAUAAAAAAUAAAUUUUUAAGCCUUA